ACGGGAGGCAGCAGUGAGGAAUAUUGGUCAAUGGGCGAGAGCCUGAACCAGCCAAGUAGCGUGAAGGAUGACUGCCCUAUGGGUUGUAAACUUCUUUUGUUCGGGAAUAAAGUCAGGGACGUGUCCCUGUUUGUAUGUACCGUUCGAAUAAGCAUCGGCUAAUUCCGUGCCAGCAGCCGCGGUAAUACGGAAGAUGCGAGCGUUAUCCGGAUUUAUUGGGUUUAAAGGGAGCGUAGGCGGGCUGUUAAGUCAGCGGUUAAAUGUCAGUGCCCAACAUUGGCAUGCCGUUGAAACUGGCGGUCUUGAAUACACACAAGGAAGGUGGAAUUCGUCGUGUAGCGGUGAAAUGCUUAGAUAUGACGAAGAACUCCGAUUGCGAAGGCAGCCUUCUGGGGUGCGAUUGACGCUGAGGCUCGAAAGUGCGGGUAUCAAACAGGAUUAGAUACCCUGGUA
rnacentral:rRNA from 1 species